rnacentral:rRNA from 1 species
UACGAAGGGUGCAAGCGUUACUCGGAAUUACUGGGCGUAAAGCGUGCGUAGGUGGUUUGUUAAGUCUGAUGUGAAAGCCCUGGGCUCAACCUGGGAAUUGCAGUGGAUACUGGCGAGCUAGAGUGCGGUAGAGGAUGGUGGAAUUCCCGGUGUAGCGGUGAAAUGCGUAGAGAUCGGGAGGAACACCCGUGGCGAAGGCGGCCAUCUGGACCAGCACUGACGCUGAGGCACGAAAGCGUGGGGAGCAAACAGGG